AGUGAACGCUGGCGGUAGGCCUAACACAUGCAAGUCGAACGGCGGCACAGUAAGAGCUUGCUCUUACGGGUGGCGAGUGGCGGACGGGUGAGGAAUACAUCGGAAUCUACUUUUUCGUGGGGGAUAACGUAGGGGAACUUACGCUAAUACCGCAUACGACCUACGGGUGAAAGCAGGGGAUCUUCGGACCUUGCGCGAUUGAAUGAGCCGAUGUCGGAUUAGCUAGUUGGCGGGGUAAAGGCCCACCAAGGCGACGAUCCGUAGCUGGUCUGAGAGGAUGAUCAGCCACACCGGAACUGAGACACGGUCCAGACUCCUACGGGAGGCAGCAGUGGGGAAUAUUGGACAAUGGGCGCAAGCCUGAUCCAGCCAUACCGCGUGGGUGAAGAAGGCCUUCGGGUUGUAAAGCCCUUUUGUUGGGAAAGAAAAGCAGCAGGUUAAUACCCCGCUGUUCUGACGGUACCCAAAGAAUAAGCACCGGCUAACUUCGUG
rnacentral:rRNA from 1 species